UACAGUAGGGUGCGAGCGUUGUCCGGAAUUAUUGGGCGUAAAGAGCUUGUAGGCGGUUUGUCGCGUCUGCCGUGAAAAUUCGAGGCUCAACCUCGAACUUGCGGUGGGUACGGGGCAGACUAGAGUCCGGUAGGGGAGCGUGGAAUUCCUGGUGUAGCGGUGAAAUGCGCAGAUAUCAGGAGGAACACCAGCGGCGAAGGCGGCGCUCUGGGCCGGAACUGACGCUGAGGAGCGAAAGCGUGGGUAGCAAACAGG
rnacentral:rRNA from 1 species